AAGUCGUAACAAGGUUUCCGUAGGUGAACCUGCGGAAGGAUCAUUAAUGAAAGAUAAUUUUUUGGGGUUUUUAAUCUCAAAAAAUAAUUCACCUUUUGUGCAUUGUUAUUUAGAUAUACUUUGGUUAGAGCUUUGGUUCCAAAACAAUUGGAAUCAACUUCUUGCUGACUCCAUCCUUUUUAAAGGACAGUUGGCUAUGAAGCGGCCUACCAAGGUUUUUUUAUCAAACUCUUGUAUUUUGUCUGACCUAAAAUAUCAAUAAUUAAAUCAUAACUUUCAACAACGGAUCUCUUGGCUCUC
rnacentral:misc_RNA from 1 species